GUUCCAUUCUCACAGACAUCCAUCCCUCUUGUUGCAGCUGCCACCAAUGAAGAUGACAUUGAACUUGAUGGCACUGAGCAUGUGCUGGAGGAGUAGUUCUAGGAGAUGCUAUGCAGCAUGCUUGAUGGUGUAAACAAGAAGCUGUUCAAAACUGUGUUUUAUUCUGGAUUUCCUAGAGAUAAACUGUGAUAUCCAUGGAGAUACAUUAAAAGGAGUCAAGUGUUCAUUUGUGCUCCUGGUGGGAGGUCUUAGAGGUGGCAUGAUGGUUGAUCAACAAGUGGAUCAGUGCUCAUGGAGACUUCUAUUUUGGGCGGAGACUUCUAUUUUGGGCUGUGCUCAUGGACACUUUUAUUUUGGGCAGUGCUUAUUUGGAAUAUCUAGGCUGGCUCCCCUUAUUUUGUAAAUGUGGCUGCUGCUUAUACCGUGGCUGGUGACAAACCCAACAUAUGAUCUA